rnacentral:rRNA from 1 species
AACGUAGGAAGCGAGCGUUAUCCGGAUUUACUGGGCGUAAAGCGUGUGUAGGCGGUUUGACAAGUUGGAUGUGAAAGCUCCUGGCUUAACUGGGAGAGGUCGUUCAAAACUGUCAGACUUGAGAGUGGUAGAGGGAGGUGGAAUUCCGGGUGUAGUGGUGAAAUGCGUAGAUAUCCGGAGGAACACCAGUGGCGAAAGCGGCCUCCUGGCCCAUUUCUGACGCUCAGACACGAAAGCUAAGGUAGCAAACGGGAUUAGAAACCCUUGUAGUCC